rnacentral:tRNA from 4 species
AGGCCAGUAGCUCUAAUUGGUUAGAGCAUCGGUCUCCAAAACCGAGGGUUGGGGGUUCGAAUCCCUCCUGGCCUGCCA